AUUGAACGCUGGCGGCAUGCCUUACACAUGCAAGUCGAACGGCAGCACGGGUGCUUGCACCUGGUGGCGAGUGGCGAACGGGUGAGUAAUACAUCGGAACAUGUCCUGUAGUGGGGGAUAGCCCGGCGAAAGCCGGAUUAAUACCGCAUACGAUCUACGGAUGAAAGCGGGGGACCUUCGGCCUUCGCGCUUUCGGGUUUGCCGAUGGCUGAUUAGCUAGUUGGGGGGGUAAAGGCCCACCCAGGCGAAGAUCAGUAGCCGGUCUGAGAGUACGACCAGCCAAACGGGGGAUGAGAAAAGGGCCAGACUCCUACGGGAGGGCGACGGGGGGAAAUUUGGACAAGGGGGGGAAGGCUGGACCCGCCAUACCGCGGUGGGGAAGAAGGGCCUUGGGUUUGAAAAGCCUUUUUUUCGGAAAGAAAAGCAGUGGCCCAAAAACGGGCGGGGGAGACGGGAACCAAAGGAUAAGCCACGGGUAAACUAGUU
rnacentral:rRNA from 1 species